rnacentral:rRNA from 1 species
AUGGAGCCCGUGCGGUUCCUAAUCACCGCGCAGCCGGAGGUUGAGCUUCCAGCACCGGCGGCUUCAAGUGCGGACGCCCAGAUCUGUCGUGUAGAGACGGGAACUGCAGAGAUGGCCCAGACUUCCGAGCACUCCAUAGAGCAAUUGGACCCCAAAACACCUGGCUGGAUACAAAGAGUGCGUGUAGGUGCUGCUGCUGUAGGCAGGGCUCCUUGCCUAGACAGGGUCACAGCGCUGGAGAAGACCAUGAGGGAAUUUACGGAUCAUCCAGGAGACAGAGUCAUUGUGCCAAAGAUAGGUACAAGUUUCGACACUCUUGGUGAGGCAUAUGACUUUUCACAAUUUGUACUCCUGGGAGAAAGGAUUUGGCAUUAG